CCUGGCGGCCGUAGCGCGGUGGUCCCACCUGACCCAAUGCCGAACUCAGAAGUGAAACGCCGUAGCGCCGAUGGUAGUGUGGGGUCUCCCCAUGCGAGAGUAGGGAACUGCCAGGC
rnacentral:rRNA from 2 species